rnacentral:lncRNA from 1 species
CCUUCAUCACUCUUAUCCUUAUCUAGGGUAUUUUUUCUACCCAUGACAUUUUUGCCAGAUAUCUAAUUGAUACAAGUACGCACGUCCCAUCCGCGCGCAGCGCGAGGUCAAUCCUGUGUGCGUCAUGUCACACGGGGACAAGGGUCCUACACUAUGCACACGCUGUCCGCAUAGCAGACUUGUGUGGAUAGGCCCCUGCGCGCUUGAGGACCACGCGCAGUAGACCUAUAUGCGCGGCACCCAGCGCACCCAGGCCUUGCGCCUACAGGCUAGCCUUGCAGCACGCCCAGGCCCUGUGCCUGCAGGCUAGCCCUGUAGCGCACCGGGCACGUGAGGCCACUAUCACCUCGGGCAGUGUGUCGUCGCCCCCCUCGAGCAACGUGCCGCAGCUCCUAGCGCCACCACCGGUGGAGGAGGUCUUCCUACUUCAUUUUUCGUGCCAAGAAUCUUUUUCUCUCUCUCUUCAUCAUAUUUCGCCACUUGGUGUAAAUCCAACAGCCCCCCAUUUUUUAUAAAUAGGGGUCAUUCCUUCCCAUGUUUUUCACACUUCCAUUCUUUCACAUUUCAAG